rnacentral:lncRNA from 1 species
GGGGAUCAGCAGCAAACUCGGGGAACGUUCGAUCGAACUCUUUCCAUGCCUCCCCAUCUGCAGGAUGCCGCAUCACAUCAUCGUCUACCCGUUUUUCCUUAUGCCAUCUCAUGUCUGUGGCAGUAUGCGUCGACAUAUACAAUCGCUGCAACCUAGGUUUAAGGGGCAGAUAAUGCAUGACUUUUUGUGGUAUCUUAGUCGUUCUAUUUUGGGAUGUCAUUU